AUUUACAUAGCUUAAUGAGAGCUUAAUAUUGAAGAUGUUGAAGUGGAAUUUUAUUUCCUGUAAAUA
rnacentral:tRNA from 1 species